GAGGAGGUCAUUUCUGUGGGUACAUAGACCCUGAGGAGGUCAUUUCUGUGGGUACAUAGACCCUGAGGAGGUCAUUUCUGUGGGUACAUAGACCCUGAGGAGGUCAUUUCUGUGGGUACAUAGACCCCGAGGAGGUCAUUUCUGUGGGUACAUAGACCCCGAGGAGGUCAUUUCUGUGGGUACAUAGACCCUGAGGAGGUCAUUUCUGUGGGUACAUAGACCCUGAGGAGGUCAUUUCUGUGGGUACAUAGACCCUG